rnacentral:rRNA from 1 species
UACGGAGGAUGCAAGCGUUAUCCGGAUUCAUUGGGUUUAAAGGGUGCGCAGGCGGGAGAUUAAGUCGGCGGUGAAAUUUUGCAGCUCAACUGUAAAAGUGCCUUCGAAACUGGUUUCCUUGAGUGUAGAUGAAGUAGGCGGAAUUUGUGGUGUAGCAGUGAAAUGCAUAGAUAUCACGAGGAACUCCGAUUGCGCAGGCAGCUUACUAAACUACUACUGACGCUCAGGCACGAAGGCGUGGGGAGUCAAACAGGAUUAGAUA